rnacentral:rRNA from 1 species
UACGUAGGGUGCAGGCGUUAAUCGGAAUUACUGGGCGUAAAGCGUGCGCAGGCGGUCUUUUUAAGUCAGAUGUGAAAUCCCCGGGCUUAACCUGGGAACUGCGUUUGAAACUGAAAGGCUAGAGUGUGGCAGAGGGGGGUGGAAUUCCACGUGUAGCAGUGAAAUGCGUAGAGAUGUGGAGGAACACCGAUGGCGAAGGCAGCCCCCUGGGCCAGCACUGACGCUCAUGCACGAAAGCGUGGGGAGCAAACAGG